rnacentral:rRNA from 1 species
AACGAACGCUGGCGGCAUGCCUAACACAUGCAAGUCGAACGAGACCUUCGGGUCUAGUGGCGCACGGGUGCGUAACGCGUGGGAACCUGCCCUUAGGUUCGGAAUAACUCCCCGAAAGGGGUGCUAAUACCGGAUAAUGUCUUCGGACCAAAGAUUUAUCGCCUUUGGAUGGGCCGGCGUUGGAUUAGAUAGUUGGUAGGGUAAAAGCCUACCAAGGCGACGAUCCAUAGAUGGUCUGAGAGGAUGAUCAGCCACACCGGGACUGAGACACGGCCCAGACUCCUACGGGAGGGAGCAGUGGGUGACAGUGGACCGUGGGCGAAGUCAUGAUCCAGUUAUGCCGGGAAAGUUAUGUUGUCAGGAAGGAUCUAAAGCGUAAGUACCUAUGAAGAUAUUGACGGUACCGGGUGAAUAAGCCCCGGCUAACUCCGUG